GAUGAAGAACGUAGCGAAAUGCGAUAAGUAAUGUGAAUUGCAGAAUACAGUGAAUCAUCGAAUCUUUGAACGCACCUUGCGCUCCUUGGUAUUCCGAGGAGCAUGCCUGUUUGAGUGUCAUGAAAUUCUCAACCUUUCUGGCUUUUGCUAGUCAGGCUUGGAUUAUGGGAGCUGCUGGCUUUUGAAGUCGGCUCUUCUAAAAUGUAUUAGCAAGAUCAUUGCUGCUCAUCAUUGGUAUGAUAAUUAUCUAUAUCAUUGAGAGUCAGUUUCCUUUAUUGGAAGAUUUUGCUCCUAACGGUCUUUAGCAAGACAACAUUUGACGAUUUUGACCUCAAAUCAGGUAGGACUACCCGCUGAACUUAAGCAUAUCAAUAAGCGGAGGA
rnacentral:misc_RNA from 1 species